rnacentral:rRNA from 1 species
UGAGGAAUAUUGGACAAUGGGUGGAAGCCUGAUCCAGCCAUCCCGCGUGAAGGAUGACGGUUCUAUGGAUUGUAAACUUCUUUUGUACAGGGAUAAACCUGCCCUCGUGAGGGCAGCUGAAGGUACUGUACGAAUAAGCACCGGCUAACUCCGUGCCAGCAGCCGCGGUAAUACGGAGGGUGCGAGCGUUAUCCGGAUUUAUUGGGUUUAAAGGGUCCGUAGGCGGGCCUGUAAGUCAGUGGUGAAAUCUCAUAGCUUAACUAUGAAACUGCCAUUGAUACUGCAGGCCUUGAGUAAAUUUGAAGUGGCUGGAAUAAGUAGUGUAGCGGUGAAAUGCAUAGAUAUUACUUAGAACACCGAUUGCGAAGGCAGGUCACUAAGAUUUAACUGACGCUGAUGGACGAAAGCGUGGGGAGCGAACA